GUCUUCGUGGCUCAGUUGGCUAGAGCGUUGGUCUCAUAUUCGUAUGACUCGAUCGUAGAUCGGGAUAUCCAAAGGUCGUGAGUUCGAGCCUCACCGAGGACA
rnacentral:tRNA from 1 species